GGGCCCGCACAAGCGGUGGAGCAUGUGGUUUAAUUCGAUGCAACGCGAAGAACCUUACCUACUCUUGACAUCCAGAGAACUUAGCAGAGAUGCUUUGGUGCCUUCGGGAACUCUGAGACAGGUGCUGCAUGGCUGUCGUCAGCUCGUGUUGUGAAAUGUUGGGUUAAGUCCCGCAACGAGCGCAACCCUUAUCCUUUGUUGCCAGCGGUUCGGCCGGGAACUCAAAGGAGACUGCCAGUGAUAAACUGGAGGAAGGUGGGGAUGACGUCAAGUCAUCAUGGCCCUUACGAGUAGGGCUACACACGUGCUACAAUGGCGCAUACAAAGAGAAGCGACCUCGCGAGAGCAAGCGGACCUCAUAAAGUGCGUCGUAGUCCGGAUUGGAGUCUGCAACUCGACUCCAUGAAGUCGGAAUCGCUAGUAAUCGUAGAUCAGAAUGCUACGGUGAAUACGUUCCCGGGCCUU
rnacentral:rRNA from 1 species